UACGAAGGGGGCUAGCGUUGCUCGGAAUCACUGGGCGUAAAGCGCACGUAGGCGGACUCUUAAGUCAGGGGUGAAAUCCUGGAGCUCAACUCCAGAACUGCCCUUGAUACUGUGAGCCUUGAGUUCGGGAGAGGUGAGUGGAACUGCGAGUGUAGAGGUGAAAUUCGUAGAUAUUCGCAAGAACACCAGUGGCGAAGGCGGCUCACUGGCCCGAUACUGACGCUGAGGUGCGAAAGCGUGGGGAGCAAACAGA
rnacentral:rRNA from 1 species